rnacentral:rRNA from 1 species
CGUAGGGGGCAAGCGUUGUCCGGAUUUAUUGGGCGUAAAGCGCGUGUAGGUGGCCAAGUAGGUCCGCUGUGAAAACUUGAGGCUCAACCUCAAGCUGUCGGUGGAAACCCCUUGGCUAGAGUCCGGAAGAGGAGAGUGGAAUUCCUGGUGUAGCGGUGAAAUGCGCAGAUAUCAGGAAGAACACCAAUGGCGAAGGCAGCUCUCUGGGACGGUACUGACACUGAGACGCGAAAGCGUGGGGAGCGAACAGG